AUGAACGCUGGCGGCGUGCCUUAAGCAUGCAAGUCGAACGAUUGAAGCUAUGCAGCAAUGCGUAGCGGAUCUAGUGGCAGACGGGUGAGUAAUACAUAGGAAUCUACCUCUUGGUGGGGAAUAGCUCGCCGAAAGGCGGGGUAAUACCGCAUAUGAUCUACGGAUCAAAGACCUUAACCGGUCGCCGAGAGAGGAGCCUGUGUCCCAUCAGCUAGUUGGUAAGGUAAUGGCUUACCAAGGCUACGACGGGUAGGGGAUGUGAGAGCAUGAUCCCCCACAAGGACACUGAGAUACGGGUCCUACACCUACGGGUGGCAGCAACUGGGAAUCUUGCGCAAUGGACGAAAGUCUGACGCAGCGACGCCGCGUGUGGGAAGAAGGCCUUCGGGUCGUAAACCACUGUGGUAGGGGAAUAACAAAUGAAGGUACCCUACUAGAAAGCACCUGCUAACCACGUGCCAGAAGCCUCGGUAAUACGUGGGGUGCAAGCGUUAUCCGGAUUUACUGGGCGUAAAGCGUUCUGUAGGCGGUUUUGUAAGUAUAUGGUUAAAGGCUGCGGCUCAACCGUAGACAUGCUGUAUAAACUACAAUGACUAGAUGGUUGUCGGGAGUAUCGGAAUUCUCGGUGGAGGGGUGAAAUCCGUUGAUAUCGAGAGGAACACCAAAGGCGAAGGCAGAUACUUAGGCAAUUUAUGACGCUGAUAGACGACAGCUAGGGGAGCGAAAGGGAUUAGAGACCCCUGUAGUCCUAGCCGUAAACGAUGGAUGCUAGCUGGUCGGAUUUAUCUGGCCGGCGUAAGCUAACGCGUUAAGCU
rnacentral:rRNA from 1 species